GAUGAACGCUGUCUACAGGCUUAACACAUGCAAGUCGAGGGGAAACGACGGGGAAGCUUGCUUCCCCGGGCGUCGACCGGCGCACGGGUGAGUAACGCGUAUCCAACCUGCCUCUGACUGAGGGAUAACCCGUCGAAAGUCGGCCUAAUACCUCAUGGCAUCGUCUGCGGGCAUCCAACGACGAUUAAAGAUUUCAUCGGUCAGGGAUGGGGAUGCGUCUGAUUAGCUUGUUGGCGGGGUAACGGCCCACCAAGGCUACGAUCAGUAGGGGUUCUGAGAGGAAGGUCCCCCACAUUGGAACUGAGACACGGUCCAAACUCCUACGGGAGGCAGCAGUGAGGAAUAUUGGUCAAUGGGCGGGAGCCUGAACCAGCCAAGUAGCGUGCAGGAGGACGGCCCUAUGGGUUGUAAACUGCUUUUAUGCGGGGAUAAAGUGAGGGACGUGUCCUUCAUUGCAGGUUCCGCAUGAAUAAGGACCGGCUAAUUCCGUG
rnacentral:rRNA from 1 species